AAACUUGCAUUAUUGAGUAACAGGAAAUUAUCUAUAUAUCGUAACGUGAAGUUAAAAUAUAUUGGUUGCUCCUGUAUGAAAUGUGAUUCAUAUGAAUAAGGAAAAAAGAUGAGAAUGAAUUUCCUAUUGAUUCUAUGAUUCUUUGAUGCUUGUUGGGUUUGACUUUGCUUUUGGUACUUUUAUAUUAACUUAUCGCCGUUAGUAUUUGGUUUUGAAUUAU
rnacentral:lncRNA from 1 species